UCCCGGAGCCCCUUCUCCCAACCCUCGUACCAGAGUCCAUCCGAGACCCGGUACGGGCUGUGGGGGAUGGGGAGUCGGGG
rfam:Sarcophilus harrisii ctg7180001544058, whole genome shotgun sequence.